UACGUAGGGAGCAAGCGUUGUCCGGAAUUAUUGGGCGUAAAGAGCUCGUAGGCGGUCUGUCGCGUCGGCUGUGAAAUCCCGAGGCUCAACCUCGGGUCUGCAGUCGAUACGGGCAAACUGGAGUGUUGCAGGGGAGACUGGAAUUCCUGGUGUAGCGGUGAAAUGCGCAGAUAUCAGGAGGAACACCGGUGGCGAAGGCGGGUCUCUGGGCAACAACUGACGCUGAGGAGCGAAAGCGUGGGGAGCGAACAGG
rnacentral:rRNA from 1 species